rnacentral:misc_RNA from 1 species
GAUGAAGAACGUAGCGAAAUGCGAUAAGUAAUGCGAAUUGCAGAAUUCAGUGAAUCAUCGAAUCUUUGAACGCACAUUGCGCCCGCCAGUAUUCUGGCGGGCAUGCCUGUUCGAGCGUCAUUUCAACCAUCAAGCCCUGCUUGCGUUGGGGUCCUGCGGCUGCCCGCAGGCCCUGAAAACCAGUGGCGGGCUCGCUAGUCACACAGAGCGCAGUAAUACAUCUCGCUUUGGGCGUGCGGCGGGUUCUUGCCGUUAAACACCCCCUUUUUACCAAGGUUGACCUCGGAUCAGGUAGGAAUACCCGCUGAACUUAAGCAUAUCAAUAAGCGGAGGA